rnacentral:rRNA from 1 species
CAACAACGGAUCUCUUGGUUCUGGCAUCGAUGAAGAACGCAGCGAAAUGCGAUAAGUAAUGUGAAUUGCAGAAUUCAGUGAAUCAUCGAAUCUUUGAACGCACAUUGCGCCCUCUGGUAUUCCGGAGGGCAUGCCUGUUCGAGCGUC